GACGAACGCUGGCGGCGUGCCUAAUACAUGCAAGUCGAGCGAAUCUGAUGGGAGCUUGCUCCUUGAUGAUUAGCGGCGGACGGGUGAGUAACACGUGGGUAACCUGCCUGUAAGACUGGGAUAACUCCGGGAAACCGGGGCUAAUACCGGAUAACUUUUUUCUUCGCAUGAGGGAGAAUUGAAAGAUGGCUUCGGCUAUCACUUACAGAUGGACCCGCGGCGCAUUAGCUAGUUGGUGAGGUAACGGCUCACCAAGGCGACGAUGCGUAGCCGACUUGAGAGGGUGAUCGGCCACACUGGGACUGAGACACGGCCCAGACUCCUACGGGAGGCAGCAGUAGGGAAUCUUCCGCAAUGGACGAAAGUCUGACGGAGCAACGCCGCGUGAGUGAUGAAGGUUUUCGGAUCGUAAAACUCUGUUGUUAGGGAAGAACAAGUAUCGUUCGAAUAGGGCGGUACCUUUACGGUACCUAACCAGAAAGCCACGGCUAACUACGUG
rnacentral:rRNA from 1 species